UGUCCUACGGGGGGCAGCAGUGAGGAAUAUUGGUCAAUGGCCGAGAGGCUGAACCAGCCAAGUCGCGUGAGGGAAGACGGCCCUACGGGUUGUAAACCUCUUUUGUCGGGGAGCAAAGCGAGUCACGUGUGACUCAUUGAGAGUACCCGAAGAAAAAGCAUCGGCUAACUCCGUGCCAGCAGCCGCGGUAAUACGUAGGUGGCAAGCGUUAUCCGGAUUUACUGGGUGUAAAGGGCGUGUAGGCGGGACUGCAAGUCAG
rnacentral:rRNA from 1 species